rnacentral:lncRNA from 1 species
UCCCACGUUGGCAGACAGGUCCAGCCUGGCUUACUUAUUUAUAAGCUGACACUUUCCCAUGUUGACAAACGGGUCCAGUGUGGCUCACAUAUUUACAGGCUGAUGUUUAAAUCUAAAUUGGUCCACACCAUCUACCUUCACGAUAAUCUCCAGGCUGGCAAGACAAUUCAUAUAUAUAUAUGCAUAUGUGUGCUAAGCGCAAUGCCCAAAAAAAAAAAAAAUCAGAAAGGGAGUGGGAGAAAAUCUCAACUUGUGGAAAUAAAAUUCCUACAACCUGUUAUUUCUCUUUGGAACAACUCCAAGCUGGUAAAA